rnacentral:lncRNA from 1 species
CAUGUUGUAACUUCCUCCAGAACAUAACCAGGCUUUCAACAUAGCUUUAUUGACCCAAAUCCUUUCGUAAUUGAUAUCUGCAACAGACAGAAAUUAAAAAUGAAUUAAAUCCAUUCUUUCACAGUGUUGUCAGAUACAAAACAAUCGGUUGUUUCGAGGAAACAAUCAGUUGUUUUUCUGCAACAGUAAAACAAAUUUUAAAUUUUUAAUCAUGAGCAGAAAGGAUUCAAAACAAAUGUAUUUGAACAUUUUAAAAGAGAUAUUUAAGCAUGAAUAUGAAUUUAAAAAGGAAUUAAAGAUAGAGAUAAGGAAGGUCUUAUCCUUUGUGAUGUUCCUUCAAUGAGUCAUAUGCCUUUUGAUCAAUAAACCUAUUUUGACUAUUGUGUACCUUGGAUUGAUACAUAACAUUGAUUCAGCUUCAAUGAUGAUCUUUUCCUUUCAAGAACCUGAUCAGAUGAAUUAGUGCCUCAUGUUUCUCUAGAUUCCCUACAUAAACAUGAAUUCAAGCAACAAGGUUUGGU